rnacentral:rRNA from 1 species
UACGAAGGGUGCAAGCGUUACUCGGAAUUACUGGGCGUAAAGCGUGCGUAGGUGGUUUGUUAAGUCUGUUGUGAAAGCCCCGGGCUCAACCUGGGAACUGCAAUGGAAACUGGCGGGCUUGAAUGCGGCAGAGGGGGGUGGAAUUCCGCGUGUAGCAGUGAAAUGCGUAGAUAUCUGGAGGAACACCGGUGGCGAAGGCGACAUCCUGGACCGGUAUUGACGCUGAGGCGCGAAAGCCAGGGGAGCAAACGGG